UACAUAGGGUGCGAGCGUUAAUCGGAAUUACUGGGCGUAAAGCGCACGUAGUCGGCUUUGCAAGUCGGUUGUGAAAUCCCCGGGCUCAACCUGGGAACUGCAUCCGAGACUGCAUUGCUAGAGUAUGGGAGAGGAAAGCGGAAUUUCUGGUGUAGCAGUGAAAUGCGUAGAUAUCAGAAGGAACAUCAGUGGCGAAGGCGGCUUUCUGGACCAAUACUGACGAUCAGGUGCGAAAGCGUGGGGAGCAAACAGG
rnacentral:rRNA from 1 species